CAAAAUGGUUGAGUCAGCCCUGCUGAUUGCUAUCUAAAAAUUCUUAUGUUUUUUUAAUUAUGGAAAACAAUAAACUUUUUAAAUUUAAGGUACGGAAAUUACAUUUGAAUUCUAUUAAAUGUGUUAAAUGAGUUGUGUUCAUGAGUUGGAGGGGUCGAAUUUAAGUGUUUUUUUUUCAAAGAAUAGGUUAACUGGGUCGACCUAUCUUUUUUUGUGAUUGGAUAGCAUACUCGAUCCAUAGCUCAAUAGUAAGUUGUUAGAUUUGUAAAAUAUGUACAGAUUUUUGUAUCCUCUUUUGAUUAUUUAAAGAAUCUGAUAAAUGUUUAAAAAGUAUUUUAUAUUUUCAGCCUAUUUGUUGUUUGGUUUGUUUCAGGUUUGAUAUUUGUACGGGGAUGCCAUAUGGUUCAACUUCUCUUGAGUCCUCAAUAAGCUUUUUAAAUUUUUAUUUUUACUUCAAGAUAUUAAGGUGGCAUGAGGCUGGAACAUACAAUGUUAAUACGAAAACUGGAGCUCUAAAUGGUUUGAUAAGAAAUGUGGAGUAUAGUCAUGGCUCUAACAACGGCUUGACGAUUGCUAUUGAUUUUUUGCGGUGAUCUGUGUGAUCCAGGAAAAGUGCAGUAAAGCACUAUCAAGCUCAGAGAAG